rnacentral:SRP_RNA from 1 species
GCUGGGUGUGGUGGCCCAUUUCUAGAAGCCCUGCUACCAAGAAAGCUGAGGCUGGUGGAUCUCUUGAGCUCAGACGUUCUAAGCCAUAGUGGACUAAGACAAUCAGGUGUCUAUGCAAGAGUGGUAUUUAAUAUGGCAAGCCCCUGGAAGCAAAAGUCCACCAGGUUACCUAAGGAGGGGCAAACUAGCCCAGGUCAGAAACAGAGCAAGUCUAAGCCAUUGUGCUUCCAAGGGGAUCAGUCCCAUGAAUAGCCCCUGCACUCAGAGUCUGGGCGAGUGGCAGACCCAGUCUUA